rnacentral:rRNA from 1 species
AUUGAACGCUGGCGGCAUGCUUUACACAUGCAAGUCGAACGGUAACAGGCCUUCGGGUGCUGACGAGUGGCGAACGGGUGAGUAAUGCAUCGGAACGUGCCCAGAGGUGGGGGAUAACGCAGCGAAAGCUGUGCUAAUACCGCAUGUGAUCUGAGGAUGAAAGCGGGGGACCAGGCAGCAAUGUUUGGCCUCGCGCCUUUGGAGCGGCCGAUGUCAGAUUAGGUAGUUGGUGGGGUAAAGGCCUACCAAGCCGACGAUCUGUAGCUGGUCUUAGAGGACGACCAGCCACACUGGGACUGAGACACGGCCCAGACUCCUACGGGAGGCAGCAGUGGGGAAUUUUGGACAAUGGGCGCAAGCCUGAUCCAGCAAUGCCGCGUGCGGGAAGAAGGCCUUCGGGUUGUAAACCGCUUUUGUACGGAACGAAAAGGCUCUGGCUAAUACCUGGGGCUGAUGACGGUACCGUAAGAAUAAGCACCGGCUAACUACGUG